rnacentral:rRNA from 1 species
UACGUAGGGGGCAAGCGUUGUCCGGAAUUAUUGGGCGUAAAGCGCGCGCAGGCGGUUCCUUAAGUCUGAUGUGAAAGCCCACGGCUCAACCGUGGAGGGUCAUUGGAAACUGGGGAACUUGAGGACAGAAGAGGAGAGUGGAAUUCCACGUGUAGCGGUGAAAUGCGUAGAUAUGUGGAGGAACACCAGUGGCGAAGGCGACUCUCUGGUCUGUUUCUGACGCUGAGGUGCGAAAGCGUGGGUAGCAAACAGGAUUAGAAACCCCCGUAGUCC